AUUGAACGCUGGCGGCAGGCCUAACACAUGCAAGUCGAGCGAGCGGCGGACGGGUGAGUAAUGUAUGGGGAACUGCCUGAUGGAGGGGGAUAACUACUGGAAACGGUAGCUAAUACCGCAUACCAUCUGAUGUGCCCAGAUGGGAUUAGCUAGUAGGUGGGGUAACGGCUCACCUAGGCGACGAUCCCUAGCUGGUCUGAGAGGAUGACCAGCCAGACUGGAACUGAUGCACGUGCAAGACGCCUACGGGAGGCAGCAGUGGGGAAUAUUGCACAAUGGGCGCAAGCCUGAUGCAGCCAUGCCGCGUGUGUGAAGAAGGCCUUCGGGUUGUAAAGCACUUUCAGCGGGGAGGCGUUACCCGCAGAAGAAGCACCGGCUAACUCCGUGCCAGCAGCCGCGGUAAUAC
rnacentral:rRNA from 1 species